rnacentral:rRNA from 1 species
GACGAACGCUGGCGGCGUGCUUAACACAUGCAAGUCGAACGGAAAGGCCCUGCUUUUGUGGGGUUCUCGAGUGGCGAACGGGUGAGUAACACGUGAGUAACCUGCCCUUGACUUUGGGAUAACUUCAGGAAACUGGGGCUAAUACCGGAUAGGAGCUCCUGCUGCAUGGUGGGGGUUGGAAAGUUUCGGCGGUUGGGGAUGGACUCGCGGCUUAUCAGCUUGUUGGUGGGGUAGUGGCUUACCAAGGCUUUGACGGGUAGCCGGCCUGAGAGGGGGACCGGCGACAUUGGGCCUGCGAUACGGCCCAGACUCCUACGGGAGGCAGCAGUGGGGAAUAUGGCACAGUGGGCGGAAGCCUGAUGCAGCAACGCCGCGUGCGGGAUGACGGCCUUCGGGUUGUAAACCGCUUUCGCAGGUGACGAGGCGUGAGUGACGGUAAUGGGUAAAGAAGCACCGGCUAACUACGUG